UACGUAGGGUGCAAGCGUUGUCCGGAAUUAUUGGGCGUAAAGAGCUCGUAGGCGGUCUGUCGCGUCGGCUGUGAAAACUCGGGGCUCAACCCCGAGCCUGCAGUCGAUACGGGCAGACUAGAGUGCUGUAGGGGAGACUGGAAUCCUGGUGUAGCGGUGAAAUGCGCAGAUAUCAGGAGGAACACCGAUGGCGAAGGCAGCUUACUGGGCCGAUACUGACGCUGAGGAGCGAAAGCGUGGGGAGCGAACAGG
rnacentral:rRNA from 1 species